CGACGGCGACGGGCUGGUAAGACCUCGUCUAGUGAAUCGGUGUCAUCAUAAAGAGGACGUCCCCUUUUAGCCUGAUGAUUCUUUGGUAAGUCCUCAUGUAGCGAAUCCUCAUCAUUAUCAUAGUGAGGAUGUAGCUUUUUAGCUUGACGUUGCUUUGGUAAAACCCCAUCUGGCAGAUCGUCAUCAUCAUCAUAGCGAGGCUGCCCCCUUUCAGCUUGAUGAUUCUUUGGUAAGUCCUCAUGUAACGAAUCCCCAUCAUUAUCAUAGUGAGGAUGACGCUUUUUAGCUUGAGGUUGCUUUGGUAAAACCCCAUCUAACAAAUUGUCUUCGACAUCAUAGUGAGAACGUCCCCUUUUAGCUUGAUGAUUCU
rnacentral:lncRNA from 1 species